AGUUGCGCCCGAAGCCUUCUGGCCGAGGGCACGCCUGCCUGGGUGUCACACAUCGUCGCCCCCCAAAAUCCCGGUAUCUCGCAAGAGACAAUCGGGAAUAGGAUGGGCGGAAAAUGGUCUCCCGUGCGCUCCCGUUCGCGGUUGGCCCAAAAAUGAGUUCUUGGCAAAGCAAAGCCACGACCAGCGGUGGUUGUAAGACCCUCGGUACAAGUCGUGAGCCUUGCAUUGCUCGUAGGGACAUGUUGACCCUGAACGUGAUCGAGUAACAUCGGUACACUCACAAAGUGACCCCAGGUCAGGCGGGACUACCCGCUGAAUUUAAGCAUAUCAAUAAGCGGAGGAAAAGAAACUAACAAGGAUUCCCCUAGUAACGGCGAGCGAACCGGGAAAUGCCCAGCUUGAAAAUCGGAUGCCCCAGGCGUUCGA
rnacentral:rRNA from 1 species